rnacentral:rRNA from 1 species
GACGAACGCUGGCGGCGCGCCUAACACAUGCCAGUCGAACGGAGCUGAGAGAAGCUUGCUUUUCUUAGCUUAGUGGCGAACGGGUGAGUAACGCGUGAGUAACCUGCCCUGGAGUGGGGGACAACAGUUGGAAACGACUGCUAAUACCGCAUAAGCCCACGAUCCGGCAUCGGAUUGAGGGAAAAGGAUUUAUUCGCUUCAGGAUGGACUCGCGUCCAAUUAGCUAGUUGGUGAGGUAACGGCCCACCAAGGCGACGAUUGGUAGCCGGACUGAGAGGUUGAACGGCCACAUUGGGACUGAGACACGGCCCAGACUCCUACGGGAGGCAGCAGUGGGGGAUAUUGCGCAAUGGGGGAAACCCUGAUGCAGCGACGCCGCGUGGAGGAAGAAGGUUUUCGGAUUGUAAACUCCUGUCGUUAGGGACGAUAAUGACGGUACCUAACAAGAAAGCACCGGCUAACUACGUG